GCGGGGCACUCACCUCUUCUUCCAAUCAUUUUCUAGAUCUUCAACAUUUCCAGCACGUUUACGCGGUUGGAGGCCGAUUACCUGGAGAUGUUUCUUCGUGUUGCAAAGGAGGUUGGAGGAACCUGCAAUCUACCAUCAAUUCAGCCUCUGGACCUGUUGGUGCGGGACUGGCAGCUCUCGGAGCCCUGCGGUGCAGCCGGGGGGCAGGAGUAUCUCAGAGACAUCGCCCGGGAUCUGGAGGCCACUGCUGAGCAGCCCCUGCUGUUGGAAGCCCUGCAGGCAAGUGGCACCCGGUGCUACCUACUGCCCCACCCCGGCACCAGGUUCACCAAGAGCGGGGCAGGGACACCGCAUGGUAA